GACCUUAUUGAAAACAUUAGUGGAUGAAUUCCAAAAUCUUUUCCCAAUUGACAAAGGCCAGAGGUUUUGCUUCGUAACAUCUCUGGAAAAAUUUCUUCUCAAAUUUCAACUUUUGAAAAUUUAGACUCAUAAUAGGUGUUGAAGAAGUUGUAUUAUUCGUCCAUUGCUCUUUUACAUGUCUAUUUGAGAAUUCAUGCAUCUGAAGUGGCGUUGAUUGCAAAUUUUACAUUGAAUGUUUUAGCAGCUGUGAUGAUACAUGACCAAAGUACAAAAUGAAGAGAUCCAAAUUAAUGCGUACCAAUUGACUUUCUUUAGGCGAGUCAUGACAGGAUCAAGAUUAUUAAUAUCCAGUUGUAGUUAAUGAGUUCACAAGAUAUGGGACUAUGGGAACCCUUCUUGUACACCAAGCAAAAGGGAAAAUCAGGGAUGUCGUGUUUGUUGAGCUGCAAAGGGUUUGGAAUAUUGAGAUCAAUCUAUCACUCUUGGUACUUAUUCCAUUCAAAACUGUGAGGAAGAUACCAGUGGAAUUGAAGGCAACAAUUCAGGAAACAAUAUAGAAGUUUAUGACUGAUUAGCUAGAGUAUUAUUUAGAUAAGUGGUGAUUGAAUAAUUUUUGUUAGUGUUUUUUUCAUCUACUUGAAAAUUUUAUGUAGGCUUUAUAAGUUAAGAUACUACUCAAUUAAUUGAUAUC